GCAAUCGUGGCCAAGUGGUUAAGGCGAUGGACUUGAAAUCCAUCUAGUAUUAAACUCUUAAUUUAUAAUGCA
rnacentral:tRNA from 1 species